rnacentral:rRNA from 1 species
GAAAUCCUGUCUGAAUAUGGGGGGACCAUCCUCCAAGGCUAAAUACUCGUAAUCGACCGAUAGUGAACAAGUACCGUGAGGGAAAGGCGAAAAGAACCCCGGGAGGGGAGUGAAAUAGAUCCUGAAAUCGCAUGCAUACAAACAGUAGGAGCCCCGUAAGGGGUGACUGCGUACCUUUUGUAUAAUGGGUCAGCGACUUACAUUCAGUAGCAAGCUUAACCGCAUAGGGAAGGCGUAGCGAAAGCGAGUCCGAAUAGGGCGUUAGUUGCUGGGUGUAGACCCGAAACCAGUUGAUCUAUCCAUGGCCAGGUUGAAGGUGCGGUAACACGUACUGGAGGACCGAACCCACUAACGUUGAAAAGUUAGGGGAUGAGCUGUGGAUAGGGGUGAAAGGCUAAACAAAACUGGAAAUAGCUGGUUCUCUCCGAAAACUAUUUAGGUAGUGCCUCGUGUAUCACCAAAGGGGGUAGAGCACUGUAAUGGUUGUGGGGUCCAUUGCGGAUUACCGCGCCAUAGCAAACUCCGAAUACCUUUGAGUGUCAGCACGGGAGACAGACAUCGGGUGCUAACGUCCGGUGUCAAGAGGGAAACAACCCAGAUCGCCAGCUAAGGUCCCUAAAAUUGGCUAAGUGGGAAACGAAGUGGGAAGGCUAAAACAGUCAGGAGGUUGGCUUAGAAGCAGCCACCCUUUAAAGAAAGCGUAAUAGCUCACUGAUCGAGUCGUCCCGCGCGGAAGAUGUAACGGGGCUAAGCCAGUUACCGAAGCUGCGAAUCACGUAAGUGAUGGUAGGAGAGCGUUCUGUAAGCCUGCGAAGGUGUGUUGUAAAGCAUGCUGGAGGUAUCAGAAGUGCGAAUGCUGACAUGAGUAGCGAUAAAGGGGGUGAAAAGCCCCCUCGCCGUAAGCCCAAGGUUUCCUACGCAACGUUCAUCGGCGUAGGGUGAGUCGGCCCCUAAGGCGAGGCAGAGAUGCGUAGCUGAUGGGAACAAGGUUAAUAUUCCUUGACCGUCGUUAGAUGCGAUGGGGGGACGGAUCGCGGAGAGUUGUCCGGGUGUUGGAUGUCCCGGUUCCUGCAUUGGAGAUGGCUAUUAGGUAAAUCCGGUAGCGUAAAUCAAGGGUGUGGGACGAGUGAGCUUGCUCACGAAGCAAUUGGAAGUGGUUCCAAGAAAAGCCUCUAAGCUUCAGUCUAACGAGACCGUACCGCAAACCGACACAGGUGGGCGAGAUGAGUAUUCUAAGGCGCUUGAGAGAACUCAGGAGAAGGAACUCGGCAAAUUGGUACCGUAACUUCGGGAUAAGGUACGCCCAAGUAGCUUAACUGUGAACAACAGAAGGGCAAAAGGGUUGCAAUAAAAUGGUGGCUGCGACUGUUUAAUAAAAACACAGCACUCUGCAAACACGAAAGUGGACGUAUAGGGUGUGACGCCUGCCCGGUGCUGGAAGAUUAAAUGAUGGGGUGCAAGCUCUUGAUUGAAGUCCCAGUAAACGGCGGCCGUAACUAUAACGGUCCUAAGGUAGCGAAAUUCCUUGUCGGGUAAGUUCCGACCUGCACGAAUGGCGUAACGAUGGCCACACUGUCUCCUCCUGAGACUCAGCGAAGUUGAAAUGUUUGUGAUGAUGCAAUCUACCCGCGGCUAGACGGAAAGACCCCAUGAACCUUUACUGUAGCUUUGCAUUGGACUUUGAAUCGGUCUGUGUAGGAUAGGUGGGAGGCUUUGAAACCAGGAUGCUAGUUCUGGUGGAGCCAACCUUGAAAUACCACCCUGAUUUAUUUGAGGUUCUAACCUUGGCCCGUUAUCCGGGUCGGGAACAGUGCAUGGUAGGCAGUUUGACUGGGGCGGUCUCCUCCCAAAGUGUAACGGAGGAGUACGAAGGUACGCUUGGCACGGUCGGACAUCGUGCCUAAAGUGCAAUGGCAAAAGCGUGCUUAACUGCGAGACCGACAAGUCGAGCAGGUGCGAAAGCAGGUCAUAGUGAUCCGGUGGUUCUGUAUGGAAGGGCCAUCGCUCAACGGAUAAAAGGUACUCUGGGGAUAACAGGCUGAUACCGCCCAAGAGUUCAUAUCGACGGCGGUGUUUGGCACCUCGAUGUCGGCUCAU